rnacentral:rRNA from 1 species
AUGGAGACCAUGUCAUAUCCUUGUUCCCCUCUUCUCUCCCUCCCCACACAUGAAGAGAGCAGCUUUUUCAUGUGGUCUCCUCAAGUAGCUCUCCACGAGAAUGCCACCAUCCAUGUUGAUCAUCCCACUGAUCAGCAACCUGAUAAUGUGUUCUUGGACACUGCAGCUCAAGAUUAUGCUAAUGAUUGGCAUCAACAAGAUGCUUCUGAUCUUGGUGUGUUCACCUAUUGUGAUGAGAGGAUUCUGGGCCAAGAGAGUGGCAACUUGGUCGCGAUCCAGGAAGAGCUCAUGGAGGAGAACAGUUUAACUGAUCUCCUCCUCACUGGUGCAGAGGCGGUCGAGGCGGGGGAUCCAAGAUUUGCCUUGGCAGUGUUCUCAAGGCUUGAUGGCCUCCUCCUUGGCAGCCCUGAAAAUGCAGCAGCCGGCUCUUUUGAUCGCCUGGCCUACCACUUUGCCCAAGGUCUGCGGUCCCGGAUCUCCAGUGCAAGCACCAGUUGCUCUCCGCCGGAGCCACUGGCGUCUGACAGAAUGUCGGCGCAGCAGAUUAUACAAGAGCUGUCACCGUUUGCCAAGUUUGCGCACUUCACUGCCAACCAGGCCAUUCUAGAUGCCACCAAGGGCGAUACACAUGUGCACGUUGUCGACCUGAACAUUGGCGAGGGCAUCCAGUGGCCAUCGUUCAUGUCAGAUCUUGCCCGUCAUGGCGGCAUGUCAUUCCACCUCACGGCGAUCACAGCAGACGCCGACUACACCGACGGCGUUCACCAUGCAUCUGCGCGGCGGCUCUCGGAGUUCGCUGACUCCUUGAACCUCCCGUUCCAGUACAGCUGUCUCUGUUUACAUAGUGAUGAAGACCUGCAUGAAUUCUCCAAGAACUGUAAAGGUUCGGUGAUCUUCUCAUGCGACACAACAAGCAUGCCUUACAAGUUGCUGAGCAAGUUACCGGCACUCCUACCUGCCUGUGUUAAACUGUUACAGCCAAAGUUAAUGGUCGUCGUAGAAGAGGAGCUGGUUAGAAUCGGAAAGGAGGUGUCUCUAUGUAAGGCCUCCUUUGUCGACUUCUUCUUCGAGGCAUUGCACCACUUUACCACGGUGUUCGAGUCACUGGCCAGCUGCUUCGUUGGUGGUAACCAGGGGGCGUGCCUGAGACUUGUGGAGAGGGAGAUGGUGGGGCCAAGGAUACAAGACUUUGUGGGGCAGUAUGGGUCUAUGACAGUUGAGGUCACUGCUCCUCGGGUUUUGGAAAGGUACGGGGCUUGUGACCUGAGUGGUUGCAAUGUUGCUCAGGCCAGGAUGCUGGUUGGGUUGUUCAAUAGGGGGUUUGAGGUUGUGCAUGAGAAGGGUAGGCUUGUGUUGUGCUGGAAGUCCAGGCCAUUGACCUCUGUGUCUGUUUGGGCUCCAAUCUUAAAAGAAAGGAGCUCAUGA